rnacentral:rRNA from 1 species
GGAAGUAAAAGUCGUAACAAGGUCUCCGUUGGUGAACCAGCGGAGGGAUCAUUACCGAGUUUACAACUCCCAAACCCAAUGUGAACGUUACCAAACUGUUGCCUCGGCGGGGUCACGCCCCGGGUGCGUAAAAGCCCCGGAACCAGGCGCCCGCCGGAGGAACCAACCAAACUCUUUCUGUAGUCCCCUCGCGGACGUAUUUCUUACAGCUCUGAGCAAAAAUUCAAAAUGAAUCAAAACUUUCAACAACGGAUCUCUUGGUUCUGGCAUCGAUGAAGAACGCAGCGAAAUGCGAUAAGUAAUGUGAAUUGCAGAAUUCAGUGAAUCAUCGAAUCUUUGAACGCACAUUGCGCCCGCCAGUAUUCUGGCGGGCAUGCCUGUCCGAGCGUCAUUUCAACCCUCGAACCCCUCCGGGGGAUCGGCGUUGGGGAUCGGGACCCCUCACCGGGUGCCGGCCCUGAAAUACAGUGGCGGUCUCGCCGCAGCCUCUCCUGCGCAGUAGUUUGCACAACUCGCACCGGGAGCGCGGCGCGUCCACGUCCGUAAAACACCCAACUUCUGAAAUGUUGACCUCGGAUCAGGUAGGAAUACCCGCUGAACUUAAGCAUAUCAAUAAGCGGAGG